GAUGAACGCUGGCGGCGUGCCUAAUACAUGCAAGUCGAGCGAACAGACGAGGAGCUUGCUCCUCUGACGUUAGCGGCGGACGGGUGAGUAACACGUGGAUAACCUACCUAUAAGACUGGGAUAACUUCGGGAAACCGGAGCUAAUACCGGAUAAUAUAUUGAACCGCAUGGUUCAAUAGUGAAAGACGGUUUUGCUGUCACUUAUAGAUGGAUCCGCGCCGCAUUAGCUAGUUGGUAAGGUAACGGCUUACCAAGGCAACGAUGCGUAGCCGACCUGAGAGGGGGGUCGGCCACACUGGAACUGAGACGCGGACCAGACUCCUACGGGAGGCAGCAGUAGGGAAUCUUCCGCAAUGGGCGAAAGCCUGACGGAGCAACGCCGCGUGAGUGAUGAAGGUCUUCGGAUCGUAAAACUCUGUUAUUAGGGAAGAACAAAUGUGUAAGUAGCUAUGCACGUCUUGACGGUACCUAAUCAGAAAGCCACGGCUAACUACGUG
rnacentral:rRNA from 1 species